GUUUCUGCGGUAGGACUGAGGGUUUGAUACUUAAUUUUACCUGCGGCAAUCGUUCCAUUGUUUUUCUUGUCUGCAAAAUUGUCUUUUAUGGUUCGCCCCGCAACAGUUGCAUAUCCUCAGCUACCAUUAGCAGUUUACACAGUUAGAACACCCAUGGUGGUGUUCUACGCUGAUCUUUCUAAUAUCCUGCAUUUGAGGAGUGCCUAAACGUUGGUUUAUUAGUAUCCUGAAACCGUUUAGAUUCGGCCCGAUUACUCUGUAGCUAUUUUUUAAUGUUUUAUGCAUGCUUUAUGGAUAAGUGAGAUGCCGACUUUUUUUUUUUUGGAUUUGGUCAGGUUAGGGAAAUUCUCAGCCACAUUAACAAAAGGGUGAAGCACAGGCCUGAGAUUCCACUGCUGAUGCUGGAUUUACAGAAUCUGCUUCCUUAGCAAUUGAAUGGAACUUUUGCAUAUAUAUUGAGAUGGCGUUUGAACGCCUGCCAACUGAGCUCGGCAUCAAGGGAUCAUCUUGAGACUUGUGACAAAAGCUAGGAAUCUUGAAUGUCAUUCAAGCAAUGAACUUUGCACCUGAGAUUGUCUACCCUCUUUAUUAAUCUGCUGCUUCAGAUAGUCAAAGAAUCAGUUUCUAAGAAAGGAGAGGAGUUGUUAAAGCGCAAAGCAUCAACUGUGAAUUUAGAAGAUCCCAACCUCAGCAAGAAAUUGUUCACGGUGUUUAGUGGUAUGCAUUUUCUAUUUUUAGGAUCUAGAUCGAUGUAGUUUGAAUUUCAACCCCUUCGGUUUUGCUCUCUCAAUUUGUGUAUAAAUAUUUUGUUUCAAGCCUUGCUCUCUGAUA